CAGGGUGUGGUCAGAUCAGCUUCCCAGGAAAGAAGCUGGGAGGGAGCCCCUGCAACUCACAUAAAAUGCACAACCCCUAGAGACAGGCUCAUUUCCAGCUUUGACGUGCCUGCUGUCUGUCAAGGGCCCAGUGAAUGCUUCCCACCCGCAGGGCUCAGCCGCCUCCAGGACCGAGGGGCCCAUUGGGCAAUCCAUCACGGAGCACACCUGGCCUGCCCAAAGGACACAGCAGGCAGUGGGAGUCCAGAAAUGAACCAGAUGCAUCCUUGGCCAUGGAGGAACACCCAACCUAACUGGAGAGACAAAGGUGGAGAAGGAGAGAUGACUGGGUAAGAGAAAUUUAACAAUAGGUUAAGGAGUGGGUCACUUUCGCAUUCCAUCCUAGUUGCAGAAUCCAUCAAUAAGCAUUAAUUCUAAUUGCUAUCUAUUGCAUGACCUAGGGCCGGGAUCAGCUGACAGCCCUCUAUCACAUACCUCUUCUGUAGCAGUGGCAGACAUUACUAAUUGAUCAUGGCACUCUUUUCACUUGAGCCAGGCGCCACCAUCACCAGUCCAUUGGAGCUGACAUGGGAGAGUCAGUCUCCGUGUUAGAGUCUGCUCGUUGGGAAGGGCCUUGAGUUAGAAGUUGGGAGACAGGCCAACUCUCUGCAUAACACGGACAAGGCUCUAUUAAAUGAAAAGAUGAUAGCUGAUCUUUAAUGCCCUUUCCAGCUCUGACAUGUCAGCCACAAGCAGCUUGUCAAGGACAUCUUUAAGUUGGCACGCAUUGGUUGAGGGCCUACUGUGUGUGGGGACAUGAGAAGUACAAGACACUGCCAUUAAGGAGGAGAUGGGCAUGCCCUUGACCAAUCCUCAUAGCAGCCAUAGUGUGAAAAAAAAUACUAGAGGUUGGGUAAAGAACUCUGGGAGGUCAGGGAAGGAAAAUACCAGUUACAGGGAACACUGGGAAGGCUUCACAGAGGAGCUGGUGUGAAAUCUAAGCCUCGAUGGGUGAAAAGGAAUCCAAUAAGCAGAGAUUUGAUUUGCCAUUAGAGUGAAGAAGUUCCAGCUCCUCCCUCCCAGUGCUUCCAUUUCCAUUUCUUCAUCUGCAAAGUGGCAUGGUGUUGACUACCUCUAAUCAAGAUU
rnacentral:lncRNA from 1 species